ensembl:lncRNA
GUUUAUUUAGCAGCAGUUCUCUUAUGUGUUGCUGAUAGCCGGCUAGCUAGCUAGCGCCGCUAGCAUAGUUAGCUCGCGCCGCUAGCAACCCUUCGUGAAAAAGCACCCAGGCUUGGCUUAUAUUGAGGCGGGUGAAACUCGUGUCAGCACCCGGUCGCUCUCUAUUUGGGUCAGAUAUAAACCGAGUUUAGGUGUAGUUUAUUUAGCAGCAGUUCUCUUAUGUGUUGCUGAUAGCCGGCUAGCUAGCUAGCGCCGCUAGCAUAGUUAGCUCGCGCCGCUAGCAACCCUUCGUGAAAAAGCACCCAGGCUUGGCUUAUAUUGAGGCGGGUGAAACUCGUGUCAGCACCCGGUCGCUCUCUAUUUGGGUCAGAUAUAAACCGAGUUUAGGUGUAGUUUAUUUAGCAGCAGUUCUCUUAUGUGUUGCUGAUAGCCG